rnacentral:rRNA from 1 species
GACGAACGCUGGCGGCGUGCCUAAUACAUGCAAGUAGAACGCACAGUUUAUACCGUAGCUUGCUACACCAUACACUGUGAGUUGCGAACGGGUGAGUAACGCGUAGGUAACCUGCCUGGUAGCGGGGGAUAACUAUUGGAAACGAUAGCUAAUACCGCAUAAUAUUAAUUAUUGCAUGAUAAUUGAUUGAAAGAUGCAAUUGCAUCACUACCAGAUGGACCUGCGUUGUAUUAGCUAGUAGGUGAGGUAACGGCUCACCUAGGCGACGAUACAUAGCCGACCUGAGAGGGUGAUCGGCCACACUGGGACUGAGACACAGCCCAGACUCCUACGGGAGGCAGCAGUAGGGAAUCUUCGGCAAUGGACGAAAGUCUGACCGAGCAACGCCGCGUGAGUGAAGAAGGUUGUCGGAUCGUAAAGCUCUGUUGUAAGAGAAGAACGGGUGUGAGAGUGGAAAGUUCACACUGUGACGGUAGCUUACCAGAAAGGGACGGCUAACUACGUG